AUGAUGGACUAUAGGACAGGACUGCUGCUUUUAACUAUCUGCUGGGCAGGUGUUGAUGGUCAGACUCUGACAGAAUCUGAACCAGCAGUUAAAAAGCCUGGAGAAUCCCACAAACUGACCUGUACAACAUCUGGAUUGUCAUUCAGCAGCCACUACAUGGCCUGGAUCAGACAGGCUCCUGGAAAAGGACUGGAGUGGAUUGCUUAUAUCAGUAGUGGUGGUGGUAGCACACACUACUCUCAGUCAGUUCAAGGCCGGUUCACCAUCUCCAGAGACGACAGCAGAGAGCAGGUGUAUCUGCAGAUGAACAGUCUGAAGACUGAAGAUUCUGCUGUUUAUUAUUGUGCUCGA